rnacentral:lncRNA from 13 species
AUGGAGAACACGAAACAUGAUGACAGAUUAACCAGGGAAGUGAAUUUAACAGAGGUUAAAGCUAAAACAACAGAAUCUGGGUACGUCUGUGUGAAGAGGUGUGGCUUUAGUGUGGAUUUGAAUAGUACACAAGUAGGCCUACGCUAUUUUUGCACUGUAAAACUUUUUUUUUUAAGUGUUAUGUUUUCCCAGAUUCAUAGUGUUAUGCAGCCCAGGCCUAUCUAGGAAGGCUGGGCAUAAAUUGUUUGCUCACAGCAUCACAUGAUGACGUGGGCAACAUAAACACUUAAACUCUGUAGAUUAAAGUUAAUAGUAAUCAAAACUAAUUUCACCACGAAAGGAAGUGCAAUCGAAAUGAAUGAAGAAGACAAUGUAAUUCUAGUGAGUUAAUAAAAUGACAAGGUGUUGCCUGUCAGCGUUGUAGACUACUGCCUCACAAGCCCGGGCUUUAGUGGCACUGGCAUACGCGCUUGCCUCUGCACUGAAGGAGCCACCGAACGCGUCCGCGUUGCAGAUCUCACUUUCUCCCGCUACAGUAUGUCCUACAAUGACAUAUUUGGUGGGGAUUGGCAGCCAACAAUAGGAUUGGAUUGGGACUAAAUCAAAGAAUAAAACGAUAUUGAAAUGAAUAGUGUUAACAAAUAUUUCCCAGAAGAUUUUGGGUUCAACCUAAGGCUGACUAGGACAGAUCAAUCAACUUGAUCCGACACAGUAAGCCUACAUGUCAUACGUAAGUAAACCCACAAGAGAGACAAUAUUGCAAAGGCAGGACCAUGUUCGAUGGAAGGCGUAGGGGUAGGCAAUCGAAAACGUUUGACGGGGAAAUUUCUGUCAAUAUUAGCUAGUCCUACUGAGUGGGCAAGUAACCUUUCCCGCGCUCUUCCUAAAAAAUACUAUUUGUGAUGUCAUAAAGGUCUAACGUUCCAUGACGUAGCAUGUAGCCCUAAAUUACAGUCCCUGCUUGCAAUAUUGUCCUCACUCUCGACCUGAACUCAACGUGAAUGUAACCAACACAGACAAUGACAUGCUUUUUGAGAUAUAAAAUAGCUUGAAUGGAUGAAGAAAAGGUAAGCUAAAUUACUUCAUACAAUAUUGGGGGGAAAGUAAAAAAGGGUAAAGCAAUAUAAGCGGAUAUUUCUUGUAAAAAGCUAUAACAUAUUGUAAAGCAAAUGUACCAUUCUUUAUAAAGUCACCAGCUUAGCUCUGAUAUGGCUGUAGCUCUAUUUAUGAUGUCCUCUGCACAGAUCUACUCUGACAUUGACAUAUUAUUACUUAUUGGAAUGUCUGUCCUUCAGGUAGCACAGAGGGAGGAUGGUGAUCCUCAGAGGGAAGGAAAGGAAGUUGUUGAGGAAGAACCGGUGGCCACGCCCAAAGAGGAGGCCAAGAAGGGAAGGAAGGUAAGAUGGCAGGAGUGACAGAGCACAUAAUAGGCCUACUGGGUUACACUCUGUACCUGAUAGCAGCCAUACCAUAGAUAUCUAUAUAUUUCAGAUAACAACAUACGUAGUAGCUGUUUUCAAAACGUGUUUUAAGAGCUGCUUUGACCUGGCCCAUAGCCUAUUCAUAAAUUGUCUCAGAGUAGGAGUGCUUAUCUAGGAUCAGUUUUGCAUUUGAGAUCAUAAUGAAAACAAUUAUUUGGGCAAGGUUGAGCACACACCUUAUCUGAUGAACUUUAUGUAUACGGGCC